rnacentral:rRNA from 1 species
UACGGAGGUAGCUAGCGUUGUUCGGAAUUACUGGGCGUAAAGCGCACGUAGGCGGCCUUGUAAGUCAGAGGUGAAAGCCUGGAGCUCAACUCCAGAACUGCCUUUGAGACUGCAUCGCUUGAAUCAAGGAGAGGUGAGUGGAAUUCCGAGUGUAGAGGUGAAAUUCGUAGAUAUUCGGAAGAACACCAGUGGCGAAGGCGGGUCACUGGACUGGUAUUGACGCUGAGGUGCGAAAGCGUGGGGAGCAAACGGG